GACGAACGCUGGCGGCGUGCUUAACACAUGCAAGUCGAGCGGUAAGGCCCUUUCGGGGGUACACGAGCGGCGAACGGGUGAGUAACACGUGGGUGACCUGCCCUCAGCUCUGGGAUAAGCCCGGGAAACCGGGUCUAAUACCGGAUAUGACUCCAUGACGCAUGUUGUGGGGUGGAAAGCCUUGUGCGGCUGAGGAUGGGCCCGCGGCCUAUCAGCUUGUUGGUGGGGUGAUGGCCACCAAGGCGACGACGGGUAGCCGGCCUGAGAGGGCGACCGGCCACACUGGGACUGAGACACGGCCCAGACUCCUACGGGAGGCAGCAGUGGGGAAUCUUGCGCAAUGGGCGAAAGCCUGACGCAGCGACGCCGCGUGAGGGAUGACGGCCUCGGUUGUAACC
rnacentral:rRNA from 1 species